rnacentral:misc_RNA from 1 species
AUGAUAUACAAUGCACUAUGUAUUACCAAAUCCACUAGUGUAUUCUCUGGAUGAUUUAGUAUAAAUAGCAAUUGAAAAUUAGAAAUACUAAACGAUGCUAAUCAUAAUCAUCCAGGAAAUAUAGGAUGUAAUGCACAAGAUACCAAACCAAUAGACAAACUAAAGCAUGUAGGCAUAACAAUCACCGACCCCCGAUUUGCCAUAUAUUACAGAAUCUUAUCUACAUUAACAGAAAGCACCACUACCACAGACCUCAUCUGAAAUGAUCAACAACUUGACGAACCACCUAUGAGUGGUCGCCCAACAGAGCACCUUGCAAGCUUUUGACAGCAUUAUCGUAGUUAACAAAACCCAUAAACCAAAACUCA